rnacentral:rRNA from 1 species
GGGACACGUGGUAUCCUGUCUGAAUAUGGGGGGACCAUCCUCCAAGGCUAAAUACUCCUGACUGACCGAUAGUGAACCAGUACCGUGAGGGAAAGGCGAAAAGAACCCCGGCGAGGGGAGUGAAAAAGAACCUGAAACCGUGUACGUACAAGCAGUGGGAGCACGCUUAGGCGUGUGACUGCGUACCUUUUGUAUAAUGGGUCAGCGACUUAUAUUCUGUAGCAAGGUUAACCGAAUAGGGGAGCCGAAGGGAAACCGAGUCUUAACUGGGCGUUAAGUUGCAGGGUAUAGACCCGAAACCCGGUGAUCUAGCCAUGGGCAGGUUGAAGGUUGGGUAACACUAACUGGAGGACCGAACCGACUAAUGUUGAAAAAUUAGCGGAUGACUUGUGGCUGGGGGUGAAAGGCCAAUCAAACCGGGAGAUAGCUGGUUCUCCCCGAAAGCUAUUUAGGUAGCGCCUCGUGAAUUCAUCUCCGGGGGUAGAGCACUGUUUCGGCAAGGGGGUCAUCCCGACUUACCAACCCGAUGCAAACUGCGAAUACCGGAGAAUGUUAUCACGGGAGACACACGGCGGGUGCUAACGUCCGUCGUGAAGAGGGAAACAACCCAGACCGCCAGCUAAGGUCCCAAAGUCAUGGUUAAGUGGGAAACGAUGUGGGAAGGCCCAGACAGCCAGGAUGUUGGCUUAGAAGCAGCCAUCAUUUAAAGAAAGCGUAAUAGCUCACUGGUCGAGUCGGCCUGCGCGGAAGAUGUAACGGGGCUAAACCAUGCACCGAAGCUGCGGCAGCGACACUAUGUGUUGUUGGGUAGGGGAGCGUUCUGUAAGCCUGUGAAGGUGUGCUGUGAGGCAUGCUGGAGGUAUCAGAAGUGCGAAUGCUGACAUAAGUAACGAUAAAGCGGGUGAAAAGCCCGCUCGCCGGAAGACCAAGGGUUCCUGUCCAACGUUAAUCGGGGCAGGGUGAGUCGACCCCUAAGGCGAGGCCGAAAGGCGUAGUCGAUGGGAAACAGGUUAAUAUUCCUGUACUUGGUGUUACUGCGAAGGGGGGACGGAGAAGGCUAUGUUGGCCGGGCGACGGUUGUCCCGGUUUAAGCGUGUAGGCUGGUUUUCCAGGCAAAUCCGGAAAAUCAAGGCUGAGGCGUGAUGACGAGGCACUACGGUGCUGAAGCAACAAAUGCCCUGCUUCCAGGAAAAGCCUCUAAGCAUCAGGUAACAUCAAAUCGUACCCCAAACCGACACAGGUGGUCAGGUAGAGAAUACCAAGGCGCUUGAGAGAACUCGGGUGAAGGAACUAGGCAAAAUGGUGCCGUAACUUCGG